rnacentral:misc_RNA from 1 species
UUCGCCGUCUACGUUUCUCUUUCUUCGCGGACGAACACGCGCUGGGCCUGCACGCAGCAGGAUCCAGGGUCCUUAACGGGAUAUGCGUUAGGGGCUUGUAGCUCAGUUGGUUAGAGCGCGCGCUUGAUAAGCGUGAGGUCGGAAGUUCAAGUCUUCCCAGGCCCACCACUUUCAUCGAGUGAGCAUUCGUCUUCUGGUUACGGGGCCAUAGCUCAGCUGGGAGAGCGCGUGCUUUGCAAGCAUGAGGUCGUCGGUUCGAUCCCGUCUGGCUCCACCAGAUGGUUUGAUCACCGAGGUCAUGCACCGUCGUCCGCGAAACAUCACUUCGCAUCCUGCUAGUCUGGAUAGACAGCAGAAUGCGUGUUUUCUGACAUCGUAAAGAGGAGAUCGAUCCGAGUUGGGUCGUGUAGCAGAUUGCUGCGCGGAUCCUUCAUUAUCUCCGGAUCAUUUUCGGCGCUCGACGCUGACCGCAAGGUUGGCAGCGAGUUGUAAAAUGAUCCUUUUAGCGAAGCUUGACCGCCUCGCUAUCGGAACGAUCUUACGAAGCAAGCUGGUCUUUCUAGUCAAUGUCCGGCUGCGACAAUCGUAUCUUCGAGGGUACGUGCCUUUAGUGGCAAUUGCGCAGACAACAUUCUGCCGAGUGUGUGGACAUUGAUAAUGAGAGCAAUCAAGUGCCUUAAGGUGUUCGGUGGAUGCCUUGCGCUGAGAGGCGAUGAAGGACGUGCUACGCUGCGAUAAGCCGUGGGGAGCUGCGAAGAAGCUUUGAUCCGCGGAUUU